GCAGGAAUCUCUAGACCAGACGUUCGGUUGAGUUGCCAAGCCAUUCAGGCCAAGUGUAGAAAUAGAGUCAAUUCGCAUUUGAACGAUGUAUUGUUACGACGCUGCACACCGACACGCACUCUACGCUCGGGAGCUUCAGUCCGACAGAGACCGCUACGCUCUUAGCAAGGCAACCCGAGAUGCCGUUGUGAGCGCGCAUUGUGCUCCGUACAUACAGGUCGGAUCUUCCGCGUCCACUAUACUUAGCCGCUUGGCUCCAGAGCCGUACUACUAUUCGUCAAAGAGAGUACCCUAUCAUCGUCGGAAAGUGACUUCGUGGUAUCGCGCUUGAUAGCUCCAUCCAGAUCCAGACGGAUGAUCUGUCAUCAUACACAUGUGACGUUAUUGUGAUUUCGUUUGUUAAUAAGAAAGCCAACGUUCAAAGAUGCGCGCCAAA